CUAUGCUGAUAAAACUAGGAAUUUUACUUAGGAGCAAAGAUCAUCAAUCCUAAAAUAUUUAUGUGACAAUGUUCAUCCAAUCACCUUGCAACACCUUGAUGUACAUGUACCAAGUCUAAUUCAUGUCACUAUUACAUGCACUUUGAUACACAGACCAUCCAACUUUGAUUCAGGCUUUUUACAUCAUAUGGCUGAUCUAGAUGCUGUUUUAAGAGCACAGUCUGUACUGUUUGUGAUUGAAGAAGAAGUGGAAACAAAGCCAGAAAAUCUGUUGAGUCAUACAGAUAUUCUGUUUAAUAUGUCCUGAAACACAAACUUCAGCGAAGACCUACUUUAGUAAAGAUGCAUGGCAGCUUGUUUUAAAUACUCUCAAAGUAUUAGAAGAUAUGUAUAUUAGUAACACUCAGAAGUAUUAUGAUAAGAUUUCUCCAUGCCAGACAAGAAAAGGCAAAGCUUUAAUAGGUCCAGUUGAAGGUGAGUUUCAUAUUAAUGAAUAUUGAAAAAAACAUCUGAACGUAAGUACGUAUAUGUGGAAUAAUUGUCAUUGGUACCAAACCCAGUUACGACAUUGAACAAGUAUUAAAUAAGCUCUCUACGAGUUCAAGUUUGACAUCAUUAUAAAGUUGACUUUUGACUGGUUUCUGCUGGUUUAUAGUAGAAACGUGUUUAACUGGCCAUGGACCUAAGAGCAAAUUGAUUUUAUUUCCAAUAAGUUAAUUAAUGAAAAUAUAAAAUGUGUAAAAGAUUUUCAAGGAGACAACAAUGAGCUAGAGACCAAUUUGCAUAGAUGUAAACUACUAUUGGUUACUGUUUGGCCUUCAACAAUAAGCAAAAUCUUUAAAAUGUAGGAAGUUAUGAAGACUUUGUGACAUUAUGUUAAGACUUUGUAAUAACUUCACCAUUGUUUUAAGGAUAAAGCUUAUUCAAGCACUUUUAAAAAAAAUUUGU